rnacentral:lncRNA from 1 species
GCAGCCAGCUCCAGUGGGACAGAGGGACGACCUUGUCAGGUGCGCGCUUCAGAAAGAGAAUUCUAGUCGGCGAGUGAGUUGAUGGGAACAAAGUUAAAUGCGGGGAGACCCCUUUACGCAUCUGUAAAAUGGGGUGAUGAUGCCAGCCUGAGAGAAAGCAGACGCCCCUGCCGGGGGCGGGGCCCGCAGAGGCCCGGGAGUGCGCAGACGCAGUUCAGCUUCGUCAACCAGCCCCACGCUGGGUCCUGGGCCUGGCAGGGGGAUGAGCAUCCGAGGUCUGGAUUAAAUAAGGGGAUGCUUGCCGGUUCCAGCUCAACCUUCGGUGCUUUCAGUGGAUUGGCAAGGCCAGUCUCCAUUGCAAAGACAUGGCCAUGUGACGGAGUCUGGCCAAUCGAAUGUAGCUGGAGGCGAGGUACACCUGGAAGUGAGGUACACCUGGAAGUGAGGUACACCUGGAAGUGAAGUACGCCUGGAGGUGAGGUACGCCUGGAGGUGAGGUAUGCCUGGAUGUGAGGUACAGCUGGAGGUGAAGUACGCCUGGAGGUGAGGUACACCUGGAUGUGAGGUACGCCUGGAGGUGAAGUACGCCUGGAGGUGAGGUACGCCUGGAGGUGAGGUACAGCUGGAGGUGAGGCACAUCUGGAGGUGAGGUACGCUUGGAGGUGAGGUACGCCUGGAGGUGAGGUACACCUGGAUGUGAGGUACGCCUGGAUGUGAGGUACGUCUGGAGGUGAGGUACGCCUGGAGGUGAGGUACGCCUGGAGGUGAGGUACGCCUGCACAUGAGGCACUUCUGGGCUGAUCUGUGCAGCCCUGUAUGUUCCUCCUUGAUCUGCUGCCCAAUGUCAAGCAUCCCACACACAACUUUGAGGCCCUAGGGGACAGCAGAGCCACAGACAGAAGGUGUCUGGGUCACUGAAUGACCACGUGGAGCAGAAACAGCCCUCCGCAUGCCAGUGGACUGUAUCCCUUUACCCGAGUGGGAAUGAACCUCUAUCGUAAGACGCCGGUGCAGUUUGGGAGCUGAUUGGGUACAGCAGCCAGCAUAGCUCCCCCCGGCUCAUACAUCCCCUGGGAGGGAGGCCCGGGAGGGCCACAUCCCCCGGUUUCUCUGCCUCCGUCUGGGUGUCACUCUCCAUCCGAGCGGGCUGGGUGAGCGUGAAGGGGAGAAGGAGAAGGCCGUUUCCAAGCGCUGGUUCCCUAGAGCCUCCCCCCCAGGAAGGUGUGAGUGACUUGACGCGGGGCUUCUGGAGCAGCGAUGGCACAGCAGAGACAGUGGGUGGAGCUGGGACUCUGAAGUCAGAGUUGUGUGUGUCGCUGACCUCUGCACAGUCGCCUGUCGUUUCUGAUAGUAAACCCACCUCCUGGAGACACGUGAACACGGGAAGAGCUCGAAUAGGAAGCACUUAGCAGAGCGUGUGGCACUCGGCAAACACUCCGUAAAAGGGAGUUAUCAUCAUCAU